rnacentral:rRNA from 1 species
CGGCCAGACUCCUACGGGAGGCAGCAGUGGGGGAUAUUGCACAAUGGGGGGAACCCUGAUGCAGCGACGCCGCGUGGGUGAAGGAGUGCUUCGGCAUGUAAAGCCCUAUCGGCAGGGAAGAAGCAAGACGGUACCUGACUAAGAAGCCCCAGCUAACUACGUGCCAGCAGCCGCGGUAAUACGUAGGUGGCAAGCGUUAUCCGGAAUUACUGGGUGUAAAGGGUGUGUAGGCGGGGCUGCAAGUCAGAUGUGAAAAUUAUGGGCUCAACCCAUAACCUGCGUCUGAAACUGUAGCUCUUGAGAGUGGGAGAGGUAAACGGAAUUCCCGGUGUAGCGGUGAAAUGCGUAGAUAUUAGGAGGAACACCGGUGGCGAAGGCGGCCUGCUGGACUGUGACUGACGUUGAGGCCCGAAGGCGUGGGGAGCAAACAGGAUAGAUACCCCAGUA